rnacentral:rRNA from 1 species
GUGACGUCUGUGCGAGAGGGGGGAGGAAGACGGUGGGGGAGUGCGUUGAGCGGAAAUACGGGGCGUAAAGGGGAGGCAGGCGGGUGGCUAAGUCGGAGGUGAAAGCACCGGGGUGAACCGGGGAGUUGCAUUGGAGACGGGGGGGCGAGAGGGAGGUAGAGGGGGGUAGAAUUCCAGGUGGAGCGGUGAAAUGCGUAGAGAUGUGGAGGAACACCAGGGGCGAAGGCGGCUCCCUGGACGGUAACUGACGCUGAGGCACGAAAGCGUGGGGAGCGAACAGGAUUAGAUACCCGAGUAGUC